AUUAUUAUUAUUAUUAUUAUAUCAACUGGAUUUCUCAUGUUAGUUGUUUUUGUUCAGGGAUUCGCUUGGAGAAAGGGUCUUUUGCAGCUCAGCAACAUAAACAACACGAUCAAGAAGAAAGCAAUUUGUUGAAAAAAACUAAUAAUGGUGCUAACAAGGAAGCUAUUGUCUGCAAAGAUGAACAAUAUUGCACGGGUACACUGAAGAAAAGAGCCUCUAGAGUAUCCAGAAAACCAAAGAACCAGUUACCCCACAUUCAUGAAGAUUAUAGUGGACCAAGACAUCAUAGACCUAGGCACCAUUAGUUUAAUUUCUAGCCCAGAAAUUUAUUUUUCUUUGUUAUUUUGUUAUAACACAAGCAUAUUCUUCCGAAACCCUAACAAAGGAGACCUUGUAAUUCUUGAUUCAAAUUUCCCACCAUGAAGAUGACACAUCUAAUUUUGUGGU